UGGUUGUGAAGAUUAAUACUAUAAGAUAAAAUUGCUGAAAGUUUAAGAAAAUAAAUAAACCAAUAACAUUAAAACUUAAGGACAAACAAGACGUUAAAGGCCAAGGCAUCCAAUUUCACCAAUAACAAUCCUAUUCCGAUUCUUAGCUAUCAACUAUCCAAUUAACAACUCCUAUGUUGAUGAUUAAGUUUCCCAACUCUAUAAUCCGAUCAUGAUGUAUGCAUCAAAUUAUAUUCUUCUAAGAAGCAACCUAGCAUGGUGUAUGCCUAGAUUUCACAACUUGAAGUUCCCUAAGUACAAUGGAAACUUUUAUACAACCACACAAAACCUAGAACAUGGUGUAUGCUUCUAGUAAAUUGUGAUCUCAAAUUCAUGAUUCGAACAAGAACAUAACAUGGGUAUAUGCCUAUGAACCUGCAACAAACACUUAUUAAUUCAUCCAAGUGAUGCCAAUUGUCAAGAACGAAAAAACAAGCGAAUUAAGCCCAAAAUUUGAGAUUCAACAUAAUAGAACUUGUCUUGGAUAAUCAAAUAGCUAAAAACACAAAAUAUUCUUGUAUGGCUACAAUGUAGCCUUAGCAAAAGAAUUUAGAAACACAUAGUCAUGGAAAACAUAAUUAAAGAUAAGAAAAACAUGAGAAACCCUUAAACCGAAGGAGAAGUUUGCAUUCCAAAAGCUCCUGAACUCUUGCUUGCCUUCCUUCCCCUUUUCUGCGUUUUUUUUUCUGCUGCUGUCCAAAUCUCUAGCCGUAUUCCCCCUUUUACUCUCCUGCUCUGCUGCAACAACUUCUUGGAUCCCAACCGUUCAAUCCCCCCCUUUUUCUUUUUUUU
rnacentral:lncRNA from 1 species